rnacentral:rRNA from 1 species
AACGAACGCUGGCGGCAUGCUUAACACAUGCAAGUUGAACGCAGAAUAGAGCUUCGGCUCUAUUGCUGAGUAGCAAACGGGUGAGUAACGCGUGGGAAUCUGCCUUCUUGUGGGGAUAACUAGGGAAACUUUAGCUAAUACCGCAUACGCUCUACGGAGGAAAGGCUUCGGCCGCAAGAAGAGGAGCCCGCGUCAGAUUAGGUAGUUGGUAGGGUAAAGCCUACCAAGCCAAAUGAUCUGUAGCUGGUCUGAGAGGAUGAUCAGCCACACUGGAACUGAGACACGGCCAGACUCCUACGGGAGCAGCAGU